rnacentral:lncRNA from 1 species
CGAUAGUGGAGCAAACGCACAGCCCAAUGCAUAGGCACGUGUGGGCUAGCCCAGUGGACGUGCAAGCGUACGCAUGAAGCCCACGCACUAGCGCGGCCCAGACCACGUGACGUACUACGAUCCAUAGGCUGGGUGGUCCAUAUAGGAGCAUGUCAACCAGCAAGGCAUUUUUUGCCCAAUUUUGCAUGGUCCACCAUGGAUCGGCACUGGUUUCUCACAGCUUAUAGAUGAUUCCAUGGAUUGGAGGUCCAUGGGACGUGCGGUGGACCAACAGCCUCAUUUCACAUCGUGUUUCACAUGGUCUACAUGGAUCGAAUCAUUUUGGAGGCCCAUUUCUUGCAAUCCAUGGGGGUUUCUAUGGGCCAGG